rnacentral:rRNA from 1 species
AGUCGAACGGGUCCGGCUUCGGCCGGGCCAGUGGCGGAAGGGUGAGUAAGGCGACGGCAACCAACCCCGAGGUUGGGUAUAGCCGCGGGAAACUGCGGGUAAUCCCCAGCGACGUGACGACGCCGACAUCGGCGUUUCACCAAAGACGCGAGCCGCCUUGGGACGGGCCGUCGUGGUAUUAGGUAGUUGGCGGGGUAACGGCCCACCAAGCCGAUGAUGCCUACCGGGCGUGCGAGCGUGGCCCGGCACACUGGGACUGAGACACUGCCCAGACUCUUACGGGAGGCUGCAGUCGAGAAUCUUCGGCAAUGGGCGCAAGCCUGACCGAGCGACGCCGCGUGGAGGAUGAAGGCCUUCGGGUUGUAAACUCCUGUCGAGGGGGAGGAAGGGGCAACCUUGACCGAUCCCUGGAGGAAGCACGGGCUAAGUUCGUGCCAGCAGCCGCGGUAAGACGAACCGUGCGAACGUUAUUCGGAAUCACUGGGCUUAAAGCGCGUGUAGGCGGAUGGGUGCGUCGGAACCUGAAAGCCCCCGGCUCAACCGGGGAAGUGGGGCCGAAACGACCCGUCUGGAGGGACGUAGGGGGAUCUGGAACUUCCGGUGGAGCGGUGAAAUGCGUUGAGAUCGGAAGGAACGCCCGUGGCGAAAGCGAGAUCCUGG